rnacentral:lncRNA from 1 species
AACUGUUGGUUUCCUCACAGACUCUUUGUAUUUUAUUUCCUUUAGAUGUUGCGAUACGUCGUAUCCUGGAAACAAACAUAAGCUGUUGUAAAACAGCUUCACAAAAAAGGGGUCUUCUGGGGCUGCCUCUAAGGGCAGAGGGAACGUUUUUACAUAAAUGUGCUAGCAUAUUUUAUUCUUAAGUGUCAUGGACUCGUAGCACAAUGGACCUAUUCUUCAUCUGGACCGUCAGCUUCAUCUGGAGAGCCAAGGCUGGAAACCCAUGAAAGCAAGUUUGAUAGAGUAAACUCAUGGCUCUUAGAAAAGCUGCCCAAUAACGCUCAUUCCGUGUGCUGUCCUUAAAAUCAUAUAAAGUCCUAGAAAGUGAAAAACAGAUUGAAGUGAAGCCCAGCAAAAUCCUACUGCUGCUGCAUGGUUCUGGUGGCAAUCUAGAAAAUUCGUGGGUCAGCAGUGAUAGCCCAUACCUCCUGGAGGAUCCUGUCUUAAUGACCAUUGCCAAGAAACACAACCAAACUCCAGGCCAUGCUCUGGAUCACCCUGAUUAUCCAUUUUUGGAAGAAUAUUGAACAUGAGCUGCUAAACAUUAUGGAGACUUUCCUCCUUCCAGUUAGUGUGUAGCUGUGUUUGGUGGGGUGGCUAAGAAGCAGUAUCCUUGUUGCCUUGUGCUUGUCUAAUGUCACAAAACUAUGAAUCACAAGAGGGACAUUUGUUUUUCCUGAUGAUUAAAAAUGACAGAAAAAUUACAGAGAAUUUACAAAAUAAAAGGAAAUAUUUGAUGUAGUGUCCUUGAUUUUUAUAUGUUUCAUGUGUAUUUUUUAUUUACAAAAAUUAAAAUAAAUUUCAACAAUU